AAAUAAAUGAAAAUUCAUGCUUGACUAAUUCGAUUCUUACGAGUACACACACGACUCCCUAAGGGUUCUUGACGAUGGGAUAAAGGGUUUCUUUUGCAGUCAGAAGGCACCCGUUAAUUUGAAUCCACUUUCCAUUUUUU
ensembl:ncRNA K01A12.7 ncRNA